CAUUAGGUGACUGAAAGCAAGUAAAGGCCUCUUAAGCCUCUCCAUAAUAGUUUAGCAACUAUUUCUAAUG
rnacentral:tRNA from 1 species